AUAAUAACAAUAAUAAAAGUUGUCCAAACCUUACAACAGGGCUAAUGAGUUCAAAUACCUGUAAUUUUAACAGGGCAUUAAAUUAUGCACAAAUGUUUAUGGCUGAGAAGUUUGUG